UCCUUCACUUGGCAGUCUUCCUCUACUUCAUCAAUUACGUUUCGCAUUCCAAAUCAAUAGCAAUACAAUGUUUCAUUUAGCUCAUUUAAUACUGCACAGUAUACAAGGCAACCUAAAAAUUGUGGUUUGCCAUCAAGCUUGUUUGGUCAUUGUGUAUCAUUUCUCAUUUGUAUCGGUACACAAGGUUUAUUCAUAAUUUAGUACAAUGUAUAAUUUGUGAUAUGCUUUCUCAAGAAACAAAAACAACAACAAAGUCUUUCAGUUCCUAGCAAGUUGGGGUAGGCUAUAGCUAAAAUCCAACAGGAGCCACUAAUCAAGGUGCAGGCACAUGAAUAGGCUUUUCAAGCACUCCUAUUCAAGCAGAAAUCUUUGGGUAUAUCCCAUUUUUUCAAGUCUAUUUCUGUUGCCUCCUCCCAUGCCAAUUACAGCCUUCCCCUUCCUCUCCUCACAUUAUUAUUGUGGCUUAGGAUUCCACUAUGCACUGGUGCCUCCAGGGGUCUUCUUUGGACAUGGCCAAACCAUCUCAACCAGUGUUGGACAAGCUUUUCUUCAAUUGGUGCUACCCCCUAGCCGAUCACGCCAACAUUCUGCCCCAUACAACAUUGCAAGUCUAAUCACGGCUCAGUAAGGGUGUGUUCGGUUCGAGUCAUCAGGUGGAAUGUAACGGGUCCGUUCAGCACCUAGGGGUCGUUCUUUUGUUUGGUUGGGUCGAGGAUUUGGAAUCCACUCGUUCCUGAACGGCAUAUUCCCCUUAGAUCCAAAAUGUGCUCAUACCUCUAAAUCGGUGGAACGACGUGGAAUGCCUCACGUGUCUCACCUUCUCCCCGACUCUGCCCCUCCCUCGACCAAGCCAAGCUUCAGCCGUCACCCUCUCCCUGUCUCUCGUCUCUCCCUCCGGCCGGCGGCUCGGGCUGUCACUGCCCUCAUUCCCGACGCUCUCUCUCCCUAUUGAAGUUGUGGCGGCGACGCACCGCAGAUAUGGCUGAAGAAGACGAGCCGCAACAGCGACGACACGUUGGGCCCUGGUCUGCAACAAGGAACAGCUGCAACAGCAACGCCAUAUGGGCCUUGCGUGCGCCGUUCCCUACAACGGGUGCGUCGGGCCCUUGUCUGCAACAAGGAACAAUGGCAACAACGGCGGUGUGUUGCCGCUGCCUAGGUGAGCGCGUCCAGCCCUGCCCCUGACAGGGAGCAGCGUACUUCCUGCCAUAUGCAACUAUGGAGACUGGGCACUGAUUUGCUGUCUGUUGCUGUGUGACACUAUGAGAGAUUGGUGAAAUUUGGUGCGUACCCAUGGACAUUAGGCACCGAUUUGCUGGCUGCUGUUUUUUUUAUCAUAAGAAGGGCCUUCCCCUCCGAUUUCCACUAAAUGAAAAACCAUCUGGGGGCUCAUCCGGUUUGGAGGAUUUCAUAACGUAGGAAUUAGGACUAGUAUAGGAAUUUUAUAGGAUGGCACUUGCCACCCUAAGGAAUUGGCUCGCCUCGUUCCUACGCGCAAAAUGAGCUUUGAGUGGAUGUGUAAUUUCCUCC